rnacentral:rRNA from 1 species
GUGGGGAAUAUUGGACAAUGGGCGAAAGCCUGAUCCAGCCAUGCCGCGUGUGUGAAGAAGGUCUUCGGAUUGUAAAGCACUUAAAGUUGGGAGGAAGGGCAGUAAGUUAAUACCUUGCUGUUUUGACGUUACCGACAGAAUAAGCACCGGCUAACUUCGUGCCAGCAGCCGCGGUAAUACGAAGGGUGCAAGCGUUAAUCGGAAUUACUGGGCGUAAAGCGCGCGUAGGUGGUUUUGUAAGUUGGAGGUGAAAUCCCCGGGCUCAACCUGGGAACUGCCUCCAAAACUGCAUGACUAGAGUACGGUAGAGGGUAGUGGAAUUUCCUGUGUAGCGGUGAAAUGCGUAGAUAUAGGAAGGAACACCAGUGGCGAAGGCGACCACCUGGACUGAUACUGACACUGAGGUGCGAAAGCGUGGGGAGCAAACAGGAUUAGAAACCCCAGUAGUCC